AUGACCGCGCGGGGCGCCGCCGGGCGCUGCCCCCCCACGACAUGGCUGAUGCCCCUGCUGCUGCUGGUCUCUCUCCUGGCGAGCCGGAGUACUACCGAGGAGGUGUCAGAGCACUGUAGCCACAUGAUUGGGAACGGGCACCUGCAGUUCCUCCAGCAGCUGAUUGACAGUCAGAUGGAGACGUCGUGCCAGAUUGCCUUUGAGUUUGUAGACCAGGAGCUAUUGAAAGAUCCCGUGUGCUACCUUAAGAAGGCGUUUGUCCUGAUGCAAGACAUAAUGGAGGACACCAUGCGCUUCAAAGACAAUACUCCCAACGCCAAUGUCAUCGUUAAGCUCCAGGAACUCUCUCUGAGGCUAAAGAGCUGCUUCACGAAGGACUACGAAGAGCAGGACAAGGCCUGUGUCCGGACUUUCUAUGAGACACCCCUGCAGUUGCUGGAAAAGAUCAAGAAUGUCUUUAAUGAAACAAAGAAUCUCCUUAAAAAGGACUGGAACAUUUUCAGCAAGAACUGCAACAACAGCUUUGCUAAGUGCUCCAGCCAAGAUGUGGUGACCAAGCCUGAUUGCAACUGCCUGUACCCCACAGCCACCCCUAGCAGUGACCUGGCCUCUGUCUCCCCUCAGCAGCCCCUUGCCCCCUCCAUGGCCCCUAUGGCUGGCUUGACCUGGGCCGACUCUGAGGGGACAGAGGGCAGCUCCCUCUUGCCCAGUGAGCAGCCCCUCCGCACAGUGGACCUGGACCCGGACAGUGCCAAGCAGCGACCACCCAGAAGCACCUGCCAGAGCUUUGACUCUCCGGAGCCCCCAGGUGUGGAGGCCAGCCCCGCCGGAGAUUCACUUCAGGCUCUGCCCUCUGUCAGGGCCCCCGUCCCUGGGAUGGAAGACGUUCUGGACUCUGCGUUGGGCACUAACUGGACCCUAGAGGAGGCCUCCGGAGAGGCUAGUGAGGGUCCCGCGCCGCAAGGGGCAGAGCUUUCUCCCUCCAGGCUGGGAGGAGGCAGAGGCCAAGCCCAGACGACCGCCAGGCCCGGGGACCUCUCGUCAGCAUCUUUUCUGCUGUCCUACUCAGCCGGGGGCCGGCAGCCAGGGGACGUGCCCGGCCUACCCCCGCCCACGGCGGGCCCCGCGAGACCCGCUGGCCCGGCCCAGAGUCGCACGCCUGAGAGGACCGAGCGACCGUCUGCCGCGCCCGGAGACCAUCAGAAGCCAGGCCCUGCCAGGACCCCGCCGCGGCCCCCGAGAGGCCUCAGCAGCCCCGCAGCCCGCUCCGAGCAGCCAGGGCUCCCCAGAAGGCUCUCCUGGGGCCGUGCGCUGCCCCUCGGGGACGUGGAGGGCAGAAGGAGCACCCGGGGCCGCAGGAGCCCCGCGCAGCCGGAAGGAGGACAAGCGAGCGAGGGGGCGGCCGGGGCCCUGGCCCACUCUAACGCCAUUCCUUUGACUGACGCAGGCCACGAGAAGCAGCAGGAGGGACCUUCUGGCCCUCAGCUCCCCAGGUUUGCCUUCCGCCUCCUGGUGCCCAGCGUCAUCCUGGUCCUGCUGGCCGUCGGCGGCCUCCUGCUGUACAGGCGGAGACGGCGGAGUCAUCGAGAGCCUCAGGCAGCGGAUUCUCCCGUGGAGCAACCAGAGGGCAGCCUCUGCUGAAGCCUUAUGCCAGUCCUAUGCUCUACCCGCAGCCCCCUGACCCAGGAUGAGGAGAGACAGGUGGAACUGCCGGUGUAGGGGCAUUUCUAAGCUGGGCGCACAGGACAGUCUCUCCAUGGGAGGAGACCUUAUGGGGGUGUCCACCACCACCCAUCCCCAGCCAUUCUCCUGGGAGUGUGGCCUGCCCACCACAAGAGCUCCUGCCUGCCAGGACUAGACCAGAGCAGCGAGGCUGGGGUCCCUCUGCCCUCGCCCCCUCAGACUGGACUGACUAGGAGAGGGCUGGAGAUGCUCCCCACGCUGCUGAUAUUUAUCGUGGGCCCUGGAGGCGCCCACCCACUGGAGGAAGGCGAGGAAGCUCGGCCGAGGACCCUCUGCACCUCGGGGGCUGUGUCCUGCUGCGUCUCCCCUCCAAGCCUCACCCGGGCCAGGGACCCAGAGGCCCUAGGCUGUGGGAGCGCAGGGUGGGCACCGAGGCUCGGAGGACCGCCUGGUGCCAAGGGGUCCCAAUGCCAACAAGCAGGGACUUGUCUCCAGAGAGAAGCCGGAGGUGGGCAGGGCGGCUGGCGGCCGGGUUUCCCUGAGGCGUGCAGCCCAAAGCCGGAAGGGAAGGCCUGCGCCACUGGGCUCACCCACCCGCUUGCCUGGUGCCCCUGCCGGCCGCGCAGCUCUGCCCCGGACCGUGCGGCUUGGCUCCACUGCCAAGGGCAGGCCAGCUCUGGCAUCUGCGCCGCCGCCCCAGCCCUGCCAGGGCCCCGGGGGCGCCGAGGCCCGCUAAGAGGCCAUUGCACUGUGAACCCCGAACCUGCCUGCUGAACAGCCGCCCAGUCCUGCGAGCGCCACUGUCCGGCUCCCCGCCUGGGCCAGGGGCGCCCUGGCCGGAGCUGGUCUUCAGGCUAUGUCGCUCGCAGGUUUCUGCAUCUUGCACUUUGACGUCCCUAGGGGGAGGUGACAAGCGGGAGGGAGGAGGCGGGAGCGCAUAGGCCCACAGGGGCUCUGCUGCCCACCGACUGCCCAAGGGUCUCUGCAGGCCUGGGCAUCCUCCGAGCUGGGGGAGGCGUCCGCGCCCCGGGCCGCAGCCUGGCCCCCUUCCCCAUGCGGCCCGGCCCCAUCCCAGCAGCAGGCCUCACUCCAGCCUCCCAGCACAGCGCCGCUCCGGUCCCCUUCCCGCCCUCUCUUCCCCACCCUCCCCGGGGAGGCAGGGAUCCCCCCAGCCCGGCCCCUACACUGUGUCUCCCACCGGGCCACAGGCCAGCCAUGACGGAGAGGGACCAGGCAGCUGGAGUCCGUGUGAAGCCUCAGCUUCCUGGGCCGGCCCGCGGCCACUGCUCUGAGAGCUGGCGGUCUGCGAUGGGGCCGAUUGCCCGUGGUCCUUUUGUGCUGCUGUGUCUCUCCUCUCCUGCUGCCCUGGGCCCUCCACCGAGAGAUGCCACCCUUCCUGGCCGCUGAGCCGGGGCCCAUGAACUUUCCUUCCUGCCCUCAAAAGCGGGGGUCUCGUGGCUCCUGCCACCCCGGCCCUGCUGCUCUCAGCUGAAGGGGAGGCAGCCGGGAACUUGCCCUGUGGGGCUCCUUCUAGUCUCAGACUCUAUAUUUGAUGCUAGAAAAUAUGUAUUUAAAAGGGAAAGGGAAAAAAAAAAAAACACAGAAAAAAGGCAUUCCUCCCCCACCCCAAACAUAUAGUAUUUUAAAAGUCAAGAAAGCAAGUCCAACCCACUGCAGAAGUUCUUUGUGGGCACUUGGUGACACAGGCAUAGGAGGGGCCCCAGCCCUCUGGGUGGCUCCCCUGGCUACCUGCACAGGAAUCCCUUCGUUGAGAAAGCUGAGAGGGAACAUUGGCUCACACACUGUGAGAUUUUGUUUUUAUACUUGGAAGUGAUGAAUUAUUUUAUAUAAAGUCAUUGAAAUAUCUAUUUAAAAAAUAGGAAGCUGCUUUUAUAUUUAAUAAUAAAAGAAGUGCACAAGCUGCCA